AACAGCUGCGGUAUUAUAACUGUACUAAGGUAGCAUAAUAAUUUGCCUUAUAAAUUGAGGCUAGAAUGAAUGGUUUGACGAAAAUUAUACUGUCUCUUACUUAUUUAUUAGAAAUUAAUUUUUAUAGUGAAAAAGCUUAAAUAAUUUAAAGGGACGAAAAGACCCUAUUGAGCUUUAUAUUAUUAUUUAAAUUUAUUGUAUUAAUUUUUAUUUUAAAUAAUUUUGGUUGGGGUGAUCAAGGAAUAAAAUAUUAAAUUUAUUAACUUCCUUAUAUAUUUAAAUAUAUAUAUAUUAAUAAACCAAAUUUUUUGCUUAAAAGAUAAGUUACCAUAGGGAUAACAGCGUAAUUUUUUUUGAGAGUUCAUAUUGAGAAAAGAGAUUGCGACCUCGAUGUUGGAUUAAAAUAACCUUAGGGUGUAGAGGCUUUAAUUGGUUAAUCUGUUCGAUUUUUAAAAUUUU
rnacentral:rRNA from 1 species